CGUCCACUGUAUAUAUAAUAAACGAAGAACACAAUAACUUUUAUUAGUUUUCUAGUAUUAUAAUACAUAUAUUUUUUACAAAAAUAUCGUCUCGCACCUGUGAUUUCAACUUAAACGGGUUUUUAAUGUACAAACGUAUCUUCCGUCCAUAUUUGGUCUCUAGAUUUUAUACCACAGUAGUAUGGAAGGAAAUACCCGCCAUGGUUAUUCAUUUCUAAAUUUGUUGAAUGUAAUUUCUUAAUUAG
rnacentral:lncRNA from 1 species